rnacentral:snRNA from 1 species
UAGUGUUACAGCUCUUUUAGAAUUUGUCUAGCAGGUUUUCCAAUUCUCACUGAAAGACCCCA